CUGAGAGAGAAGUAAUCAAGGAUUACUCAGAAGAUGGCUACCUUUGCCAAUUUUGCGUUAGUUGUGUUGGUUCUGGCAGUUUUAAUGCACCAAGCUGAAUCCGACUGCUGCUUUACAAAGAAGAAUACUUACUGUGCGGACUGCACUAAGGGAACCCCUUACUGUUCAUAUGGAAAAUGUAACAUAUUUGGCUGCAAAUGUGAACGUUCAUGUAGAGCGGACUGCGGCAUGACCAUAAC